rnacentral:rRNA from 1 species
AGAGUUUGAUCCUGGCUCAGGACGAACGCUGGCGGCGCGCUUAACACAUGCAAGUCGAGCGAGAACCGUUCCUUCGGGAAUGGGGACAGCGGCGAACGGGUGAGUAACACGUGGGUGACCUACCUUCGAGUGGGGGAUAACGUCCCGAAAGGGACGCUAAUACCGCAUAACAUCCUGCCUUUGAACAGGUGGAGAUCAAAGCCGGGGAUCGCAAGACCUGGCGCUUGAUGAGGGGCCCGCGCCUGAUUAGCUAGUUGGUGGGGUAAUGGCUCACCAAGGCGACGAUCAGUAUCCGGCCUGAGAGGGCGGACGGACACACUGGGACUGAGACACGGCCCAGACUCCUACGGGAGGCAGCAGUGGGGAAUUGUUCGCAAUGGGCGCAAGCCUGACGACGCAACGCCGCGUGGAGGAUGAAGGUCUUCGGAUUGUAAACUCCUGUUGCUCGGGACGAAAAGCUUCGACCUAACACGUUGAGGUCUGACGGUACCGAGUGAGGAAGCCCCGGCUAACUCUGUGCCAGCAGCCGCGGUAAUACAGAGGGGGCAAGCGUUGUUCGGAAUUACUGGGCGUAAAGGGCGCGUAGGCGGCCUGCUAAGUCGAACGUGAAAUCCCUGGGCUCAACCCAGGAACUGCGUCCGAUACUGGUUGGCUUGAAUCCGGGAGAGGGAUGUGGAAUUCCAGGUGUAGCGGUGAAAUGCGUAGAUAUCUGGAGGAACACCGGUGGCGAAGGCGACAUCCUGGACCGGUAUUGACGCUGAGGCGCGAAAGCCAGGGGAGCANACGGGAUUAGAUACCCCGGUAGUCCUGGCCCUAAACGAUGAAUGCUUGGUGUGGCGGGUAUCGAUCCCUGCCGUGCCGAAGCUAACGCAUUAAGCAUUCCGCCUGGGGAGUACGGUCGCAAGGCUAAACUCAAAGGAAU